GACGAACGCUGGCGGCGUGCUUAACACAUGCAAGUCGAACGGAAAGGCCCUGCUUUUGUGGGGUGCUCGAGUGGCGAACGGGUGAGUAACACGUGAGUAACCUGCCCUUUACUUUGGGAUAACUUCAGGAAACUGGGGCUAAUACCGGAUAGGAGCUCCUGUUGCAUGGUGGGGGUUGAAAAGUUUCGGCGGUUGGGGAUGGACUGGCGGCUUAUUAGCUUGUUGGUGGUGGAGUGGCUUACCAAGGCUUGGACGGGUAGCCGGCCUGAGAGGGUGACCGGCCACAUGGGGACUGAGAGACGGCCCAGACGGCUACGGGAGGCAGCAGUGGGAGAUAUUGCACAAUGGGCGGAAGCCUGAUACAGCAACGCCGGGUGCGGGAUGACGGCCUUCGGGUUAUAAACCGCUUUCGCAUGUAACGAAGCGUGAGUGACGGUAAUGGGUAAAGAAGCAACGGCUAACUACGUG
rnacentral:rRNA from 1 species